CAGAACCUGUUACCCAAGGAAUUCCCUAAAGAAUUAGAAGUGUGUCUCACCAACCAGCCAAGAUGAACAUGGUGAAAAGGAUCAUGGGGCGGCCAAGGCAGGAGGAGUGCAGCCCACAAGACAACGCCUUAGGACUGAUGCACCUCCGCCGGCUCUUCACGGAGUUGUGCCAUCCUCCCCGGCACAUGACUCAGAAGGAACAAGAAGAGAAACUGUAUAUGAUGCUGCCAGUGUUUAACAGGGUUUUUGGAAAUGCUCCGCCAAAUACAAUGACAGAAAAAUUUUCUGAUCUUCUGCAGUUCACAACACAAGUCUCACGACUAAUGGUGACAGAAAUUCGAAGGAGAGCAUCAAACAAAUCCACAGAGGCUGCAAGUCGGGCCAUAGUUCAGUUCCUGGAGAUCAAUCAGAGUGAAGAAGCCAGUAGAGGCUGGAUGCUUCUGACGACAAUUAAUUUGUUAGCUUCCUCUGGUCAGAAAACCGUGGACUGCAUGACAACAAUGUCAGUGCCUUCCACCCUGGUUAAAUGUUUAUAUCUGUUUUUUGACCUUCCACAUGUGCCUGAGGCAGUUGGAGGUGCACAGAAUGAGCUACCUCUAGCAGAACGUCGAGGACUACUCCAGAAAGUUUUUGUACAGAUCUUAGUGAAACUGUGCAGUUUUGUUUCCCCUGCGGAGGAGCUGGCUCAGAAAGAUGAUCUCCAGCUUCUAUUCAGUGCAAUAACCUCUUGGUGCCCUCCCUAUAACCUGCCUUGGAGAAAGAGUGCUGGAGAAGUCCUCAUGACCAUAUCUCGUCAUGGUCUUAGUGUCAAUGUAGUGAAGUAUAUUCAUGAGAAAGAGUGUUUAUCUACAUGUGUUCAGAAUAUGCAGCAAUCAGAUGACUUGUCUCCCCUAGAAAUUGUCGAAAUGUUUGCUGGGCUUUCUUGUUUCCUCAAAGAUUCCAGCGAUGUUUCCCAAACACUUCUGGAUGAUUUUCGGAUAUGGCAAGGAUAUAAUUUUCUUUGUGAUCUCUUGCUUAGAUUGGAACAAGCAAAAGAGGCAGAAUCCAAAGAUGCCUUGAAAGAUCUGGUUAAUCUGAUAACUUCCCUAACAACAUAUGGUGUCAGUGAACUAAAACCAGCUGGUAUUACCACAGGGGCACCCUUUUUAUUGCCUGGAUUUGCAGUACCUCAGCCUGCAGGCAAAGGUCACAGUGUGAGGAACGUCCAGGCCUUUGCAGUUCUUCAGAAUGCAUUUUUAAAAGCAAAAACCAGCUUCCUUGCCCAAAUCAUCCUUGAUGCUAUCACAAAUAUUUACAUGGCCGACAGUGCCAAUUACUUCAUCCUAGAGUCACAGCACACAUUGUCACAGUUUGCAGAGAAGAUUUCUAAACUCCCAGAAGUACAAAACAAAUACUUUGAGAUGCUGGAGUUUGUUGUUUUUAGCUUAAAUUAUAUACCUUGUAAAGAACUUAUUAGUGUCAGUAUCCUCUUAAAAUCUAGCUCUUCUUAUCACUGUAGCAUUAUUGCAAUGAAAACACUUCUUAAGUUUACAAGACAUGACUACAUAUUUAAAGAUGUGUUCAGGGAGGUUGGCCUUUUGGAGGUCAUGGUAAACCUUUUGCAUAAAUAUGCUGCCCUGUUGAAGGAUCCAACUCAGGCACUAAAUGAACAAGGGGACUCAAGAAAUAAUAGUUCAGUCGAAGACCAAAAACACCUGGCUUUAUUGGUUAUGGAGACCUUGACAGUGCUUCUUCAAGGAUCAAACACAAAUGCAGGAAUUUUUCGAGAAUUUGGAGGUGCAAGAUGUGCACAUAAUAUAGUAAAGUACCCUCAAUGCCGGCAGCAUGCCCUGAUGACUAUCCAGCAGCUGGUGCUCUCCCCAAAUGGGGACGAUGACAUGGGCACUCUCCUGGGGCUAAUGCAUUCAGCCCCACCGACGGAAUUGCAGUUGAAGACUGAUAUUUUAAGGGCCCUCCUGUCGGUCCUUCGAGAAAGCCAUCGUUCAAGAACAGUUUUUAGGAAAGUUGGAGGAUUUGUGUACAUUACAUCCUUGCUCGUUGCUAUGGAAAGAUCUUUGAGCUGUCCACCCAAGAAUGGCUGGGAGAAAGUGAACCAGAAUCAAGUGUUUGAACUUCUUCACACUGUGUUCUGCACGUUGACUGCAGCAAUGCGCUAUGAGCCAGCCAACUCUCAUUUCUUCAAAACAGAGAUUCAGUAUGAGAAGUUGGCAGAUGCUGUUCGAUUUCUUGGCUGCUUCUCAGACCUAAGAAAAAUAAGCGCCAUGAAUGUCUUCCCCUCAAAUACACAGCCAUUUCAGAGACUUUUAGAGGAAGAUGUAGUCUCAAUAGAAUCAGUGUCACCCACGUUACGGCACUGCAGUAAACUUUUUAUUUAUCUUUACAAAGUAGCCACAGAUUCUUUUGACAGGUAUGGCUCUGCUCUGUCCUCUGAAUUAAAGGGUGUAUACUAAGCAUGACUUCAACAUUAAGACUUGAAUUAUGAGUUAAUCCAAAAGAAUAUGAAAACAGAUGACUCUUCUCCUGUUUGUUUGAGGUGUAUCACUUUAUUUUUGAAUAUUACUCUUGCUCUGGUAUUGUUUUUUUUUUUUUUUUUAGCAUGGAAGCCUGUGUACUAUUUGUAAAUUCAGGUUCAAUUAGUUCUCAUUGCAGUUAUUGGAACAGUUUCUAUGAAGUUUCCUUUAAUGAUAGUGUUUACUAUUGUCUUUUUUCUUUUUAGCCUCAAAAGGUGCAUCUGGACUUAUUGAUAUGUGUUAUCAACAGAACAUCAUUAUGAUUAUUCUUAUUUCCAGACACAUACUCCAUCAUUCUCCACAUAUCGUACGCCUCAAAAAAUGAUAAAGUUCCCAAAGAGGGGUGUCAGUGUCUUGAACCGUCAAGUUCGAGAGGCCAUCAGACUCAGUAUUUACUCAUUCCUUCAUGAAAUAAGUACUUAACAAAAACCUGCUGCAUGCCAAGUCACUGUGCUAGGCAUUGAGGAUUCAGCUCUACACAGGGCUGUCUUGGUCCUUGCUAUCUUUUAGCUAAAAUAUAGACACAUAAAUAAACAAUUACAUAUAGUGUGACAAAUUCUACAAUGGGGGAAUCCAGGGUUCUCAGGGAGAUUGUAGGAGAGCCACUUCAUCUAGAUCACUUAUUUUCAGUGCUUCAACUGUGUUUUCAAUGAAGAUGUCACUUUGAAAAUAAUACUUCUAAUUUAUGCCCCAAGCGUUAUUGCUUUUAACUUACCAUAGUUUUAAUACAUAAAAUGAAUGAACUGCCCUCAUCAAUAGACCAUGUAACUCCAUUGGCUAGAGCUUGUAAUAGGUUUUGUGUCCUUUUCUGUGGAAUAUCUGCUUUGAAGUAUCAACUGAGAUAUUUCCAGCUUCUUAACAAGAUUUCUUAGUCCUCAGUAUUUACAUUUAAAAAUCCAAACAACUAUGACAACAAUUGU
rnacentral:sRNA from 1 species